UACGGGGGGGGUAAGCGUUGUUCGGAAUUACUGGGCGUAAAGGGCUCGUAGGCGGCCAACUAAGUCAGACGUGAAAUCCCUCAGCUUAACUGGGGAACUGCGUCUGAUACUGGAUGGCUUGGAUCCGGGAGAGGGAUGCGGAAUUCCAGGUGUAGCGGUGAAAUGCGUAGAUAUCUGGAGGAACACCGGUGGUGAAGGCGGCAUCCUGGACCGAGAUUGACGCUGAGGCGCGAAAGCCAGGGGAGCAAACGGG
rnacentral:rRNA from 1 species